AGAGAAAUUUAGGAAAAAUACUCUAAUUUCUGAAAUAUUUGUAAAACUUACCUCAUGGUCAAAAAGUUAAAGAAAAUACUCUCCCUUUUGACAUUUUUAUAUUUUUACUCUAAUAUAUUUAUAAUUUAUUUAUUUACUCCGUAUAUUACUUAUAAUACUCUGUAAUCUGUUAAUUUUACUCUUCUUCCUCUUUUAGAGAUCUCGUUGUUAUACCCAAUCGCUGAUACAGAAGCACCACCACCGUCGUUGCCUGUUUAUGGCAACCCUUUCGACAUGGCUCACUAUGCUUGCCCCACUUGUCUUUCGCCGGAGCAACCCAAUUUGUCAUCCCAUCCAUCUACCGAUAUACAUCGCCGCCACUCCAUCGUUGCUGUCUCUAAAUAUAGCUUGAUGUUGUUGCACUUGCAGAGACGCCGUUGUCGCUUCGUAUGUAUUCGAUUUUUCUUGCCAAACUUGUGCCUGGACGCUUGCAGAGACGUUUUUCCAGAUAUCUGUUGAUUGCCCAAGAACUUUACCUCAUAUGACUUUCUUUCAGCAAGAACAAGUUCAGAAAUCUAUGGAGCUUAUUUUGUAUAGAUAGUAAGAAAUUAAUCUCGUCUUUCCACUUUUUUUGUAUUUGAAUGUUGUUUUUCUUUAUCUCUUAUUUUUUGGCACUGCAUAAUUUGCUUUAUAGAUCCCCAAUCAACUGGAAAACAAAUUUCAAAUUAUGACAGUGUCCCGAGGAAGAAAUUUGGAAGGAGCAAUGAAAGACUGAAGAGUAUGCUAAACUUCUUUGUUGGGAGAAGAAGCAUGAACACGACUAGAUGGUCAUUUAGUAGAAGAGAAUAAUUGUCGAGUCGGGUUUGGCAGAAGAGAGCAAGUGUUCUAGUAGACAAAAUAAUUCUUAAGCUGCCAUUUGCAGAUUUACAGACCCAAAUUAUGUGUGGCAUAAACAUGUAGAGUAAUAAAUUUGGAUUUAUGUUUUAGUCUCAGUGCAUUAUGUACAUGUGCAAUGUAUAAUUUAGCUAAAUGAUAUCUUUUUGGUUAA